UCUCUUUUAUAAGGGGUACUAUUUAUGAAAAAACCUAUGCUCUUUGACGGCCCUUUUUCUUAUUAAAGGAACUUGUUAUAUAUCGAAAUUACCCGUUUAAUUUCACUUUAUUUAUGCUUUUAUACCGCCGUCUUAAGAACGUAUUUUUACAUACUUUCUUAAUAGUUUCUCUAAAAAGUCAGGUCAAGGUGAAGCUGUAAUUUAGGUGGUGAUAAGUUAUUUAUUAAUAAAAUUAAAGGAGUUUAGAUUAAAAUCUAUUAAAAUAAAGAUUCAAAAGUACAAAUUUAAUAAUAAUUUAUUUAGAAUAUGUAAAAAGGGUGA
rnacentral:rRNA from 1 species